AGGAAUGCUACAUACAAUCGGCAUAUACAACCUUUGUGUAACCAGCUGACAAAUUGGGUCUCACUUUAUCCCUUUCUUCCUCCCUCUUUCUCUCUCCCUUUUCUUUUUCCAUCUGUCAAUGAAAAAAUUAGAAACUUAUUUAUGAAUGUUUAUUGGUAAUUCCACGAGCUUCGCAGCCUUUCUACCUCUCCGUCUCUCUCUCUGUCUCUCUCUGGUCAAGUCCUCUGUAACCACACUGUUCCACCUUCAUCUCUAUCUUCUUCUGACUCUCUAUAACCACAGUAACCACCGAU